UACGUAGGGGGCGAGCGUUGUCCGGAUUUAUUGGGCGUAAAGAGCUCGUAGGCGGCUUAGCAAGUCGGGUGUGAAAACUCCAGGCUCAACCUGGAGACGCCACUCGAGACUGCUAUGGCUAGAGUCCGGUAGGGGACCACGGAAUUCCUGGUGUAGCGGUGAAAUGCGCAGAUAUCAGGAGGAACACCGGUGGCGAAGGCGGUGGUCUGGGCCGGCACUGACGCUGAGGCGCGAAAGCGUGGGGAGCAAACGGG
rnacentral:rRNA from 1 species